UGCAGAAUCCCGCGAACCAUCGAUUCUUUGAACGCAAGUUGCGCCCGAGGCCAUCCGGCCCAGGGUACGCCUGCCUGAGCGUCGAUCCAUGUGACGCUCCGCUCUGCCUGGGACACGAUGUGCGUGCAGGGAGGCGGAUGCGGAGAUUGGGCCCCCGCGCCCCGACCCCCUCGGUGCGGCGGUCCGAAGAGCACUCCAAGUGAUGCGGCCGAACAUGGCGGAUGGUGGAUGCGCCCGCGUUGCGGGUAUCAUGAAGCCGGUCGGCUCCUCGGGGCUGGGAUGUCACUCGUUGUCCGCACCGCGCAUCUUUUCCCCGGCCAGCAGGUCGGGGCGGCGCCCCUCGGAUCGCGGCCCCAGGUCAGGUGGGGCCACCUGCUGAGCUUAAGCAUAUCAAUAAGCGGAGGAGAAGAAACUUACGAGGAUUCCCUUAGUAGCAGCGAGCGAACCGGGAUCGGUCCAGCUUGAGAAUCGGGCGGGCCUUGCCUCCCGAAUUGUAGUUAAAAAAAAAACGUCC
rnacentral:rRNA from 1 species